AUGGGGGUCCUCCUUCUCCCCCUUUCCCCGUGUUCGGCGGGGAGCUUGGUUGGAGGAAUGGGUGGCCUCGAUGCGGUCGCGUCACCUGUCGCCGGCACGAUUUGCCGGUCCGGAUUCGUCCGCUCCCCUUUCUCCCCCUUUCCUCGGCCGUGGGCGGGUUGGCACAGGUUUACCAGCGGAGCGUCGGCGGGUGGUUCCGUCGGUCGAGGGCCAUCGGUUGGUCCAAAGUUGGGGCCUUUGUGUUGGUCUCGGGGUUGUCUGGUUGCAGGGCGGCGGCUCUGGCGGCGGGAGGCGCGACGUUCGUGGGCGGAGCGUGCGUCUUAG
rnacentral:rRNA from 1 species